rnacentral:lncRNA from 1 species
CUCAGAGAGGUGCCACAUGAAAGAUUUCCUCUAUUGAUUGAUUGGAGCCCAAGUAGGGAGGGAUGGGGAGAAAUCAACACUCCCAGAGCCUGAAAGCUGGAAACCUGGGUCAGAGUACCUGGGAGCUCUGCCACACUCAGGGAGCCCCAUAGUUUCUCCUCAACAAGCGUUGGGGCAGGUUGGCUGACAGGAUUCCUGGCUCCAAAGGUCUGUGGACUCCAGAGGCUCCAGAGCUCAGUUCUGAACAGACCCUGCACCCAGACAGCUGGAGAUAGGGCUGUGGACAGAACAGCUGUGGCGCCUUGGUUGGGCUCCUCCACCAUGGAAAGUCCCUGGGCACUGGCCUAGAGCAACUAUCUGCUGAUUCUGCUGUCCACAGGAGCCAAAGGGGUGACCCUGAACCAUUCACCAUAGGACUCACUUCCAGGAAGAGUUCACUAGACCGGACAGAAGCCCCAAAGCACAGAGCUGUUUCAAAGGGCAGUUGCAUUCACUGCAGUGCAAGUACUGGGCCUUGCCCAGGUCUCUGCCUCCAAUCUACACCACGCAGAACACAACCACCAGGCAAGGAAGAAGACUUGACUGUGUAAAUAUAAAGAUUGACAUGUGGAGCUGGAAAGAUGAGUUAAGUAGGCAUGAGCACUGCUCGUGGAGAUCAUGAGAGGACACACCUUUAAUUGUAACACUCGGAAGAGAGAGACAAGUGAGUUCCAGCCCAGCCUGCUCUACAUAGUGAGUUCCAAGACAGCCAGGGCUACAACAUAGUGAUACCUUGCCUUCAAAAGACAAAAGCAAACAAAUGAAAAAAAAAAAUGAAAAGGAGUGAGGACUGCUGCUGUAGAAGAUCCAAGUUAAGUUCCCAGGACC